AUACUUACCUGACCGGGGGUGAUACCUUGAUCAUGAAGGAGGUUCACCCAGAGUGGAGUCCUUGUGUUUUCCAAGAGGCAACCUCUAAAAUAUGCUGCUUUAACAGUAGACUUUCUUAUUUUUGCCAGUCGGAUAUCUUCGUAUGGUCA
rnacentral:snRNA from 1 species